rnacentral:tRNA from 1 species
GCCUCGGUAGCUCAACGGUAGAGCAGAUGACUCUUAAUCAUUAGGUUCUAGGUUCGAAUCCUAGCCGGGGCA